GGGAUCAGUUCCAGGUGUUGUUCUUUCCUCCACUUUUCCGUUUGUUCUCCCAUCUUUCCAUCUUUCUAAAUUUUUUUAAUUACAAAAAUAACUUAUUUUUUACUUUUUUAACUUUUUUAUUUUUUUUAGUUUUAAUGUUAUUUACCAGGGAGUAACCCUCAAUCCUGCUUCACUUUUACUCUGUUCAAAGUCCCACCCGCAAGCUUUUGAGAUUUGUUUUUCUUCUCC
rnacentral:lncRNA from 1 species